AUGGACGCCGCCGGCCCGCCGCCCGCGGCCUCCGGCAGCGGCAGGUCCUUCCUCGGGCUGUCCACCGCCGCCGAGGCCGCGCUCGCGGGCGCCGCCGUCCUGCUCCUCGUCGUCGCGGCCGCGUCGAUCGCCGCGUACCUGGCGCGCCGGCGCGGGGGCGGGCGCGGGGCCAAGCCGCAGUCCUCGCGCGUCGACCACGCGCUCUCCUCCGGCUCGCUCCUCCCGACCUCCACGCCCAAGCAGCAGAAGUACGCCGAGGUCGGGGCCGAGGUCGGCACCAGCUCCUCCGACGUGGCCAGCUCGUCCGCGGCGGCCAGCUCCCUGGAGUCGCCGGUGCGGAAGAAGCCGGAGAGGAUCAGCGGGGGCGGGGCGGCGCCGGGGGUGGAGAUGGGCUGGGGGAGGUGGUACGAGCUGGAGGAGCUGGAGGCGGCCACGGGCGGGUUCCGCGAGCCGAACGUGGUCGGCGAGGGAGGCUACGGCACGGUGUACCGCGGCGUGCUCGCCGGCGGCGAGGUGGUCGCCGUCAAGAACCUCUUCGAUCACAAGGGGCAGGCCGAGCAGGAGUUCAAGGUGGAGGUUGAAGCCAUCGGCAGGGUGAGGCACAAGCACCUCGCCGGCCUCAUCGGCUACUGCGCGGAAGGGCCUAAACGGAUGCUCGUGUACGAGUUUGUUGAGAACGGCAACUUGGAGCAGUGGCUGCACGGGGACGUCGGCCCCGUCAGCCCGCUGACAUGGGAGAUCCGUCUCAAGAUCGCCAUCGGGACAGCCAAAGGUAUCGCGUACUUGCACGAGGGGCUGGAGCCCAAGGUGGUGCACCGGGACAUCAAGUCCAGCAACAUCCUCCUGGACAAGAAAUGGAACCCCAAGGUGUCUGACUUCGGCAUGGCCAAGGUCCUCGGCUCCGGCUCCAGCUACGUGACGACCCGUGUGAUGGGCACGUUCGGGUACGUGGCCCCGGAGUACGCGUCGACGGGGAUGCUGAACGAGAGCAGCGACAUCUACAGCUUCGGCGUGCUGCUGAUGGAGCUCAUCUCCGGGAGGAGCCCGGUGGACUACAACCGGCCGGCGGGGGAGGUGAACCUGGUGGAGUGGUUCAGGGGGAUGGUGGGGAGCCGGCGCGUGGAGGACCUGGCGGACCCGCGCAUCGUGCCGGCGCCGGCGCCCAGGGUGCUCAACCGGGUGCUGCUGGUGUGCCUCCGCUGCAUCGACUCCGACGCGCACAAGCGGCCCAAGAUGGGCCAGAUCGUGCACAUGCUCGAGGGCGACGAGUUCCCCUUCCGCACGGAGCACCGAUCGCCGCGGGCGGCUCACCGGCCGUCGACGAACGCGCGGACGUCGCUUCUGGCCGAGAAGGCCGGAGCCGACGACGCCGACAAAUCCACGUGGAGAUGA
rnacentral:rRNA from 1 species